rnacentral:rRNA from 1 species
UACAGAGGUCUCAAGCGUUGUUCGGAUUUACUGGGCGUAAAGGGCGCGUAGGCGGCCGAUCAAGUCAGGCGUGAAAGCCCCGGGCUCAACCUGGGAAUUGCGCUUGGGACUGGUUGGCUGGAGUUCGGGAGAGGAGAGCGGAAUUCCCAGUGUAGAGGUGAAAUUCGUAGAUAUUGGGAAGAACACCGGUGGCGAAGGCGGCUCUCUGGACCGAGACUGACGCUGAGGCGCGAAAGCGUGGGGAGCAAACAGG